rnacentral:lncRNA from 1 species
AUCUAGCCUGUUACCAUAACCAGAAGGAAGAGUGAAAAAAAGCAUCAGAGGUAGCUAAAAUCAGGGUGAGGAGCUUAAGUAUAGGACAUCUCUUCAGGUGAAAUAGCCAUCAAACCAUGUAUCAAAAGAAGGCUCUGCUACCAUAAAAUACUUUUGGACUUGGUUCACUACUUUUUGAUGCAUUUGCCUUCUCACUAGAGCCAGAGGUCCCCGAAGUACUAUCCACAUUAUCAGCGCCUGAACUAUCACCAAUGUCCAUGGGAAGCUUCAUCUUUGCAAGAGCCUCUGUAAACUGCUGCAUGCUUUUCAUGUAUAUCUCAACUAUCUCUUGUUGAACCACCUUUUGUUCAGGUUCUAUAGUCACAUUCACAACAGACUGGGUUAUUGUGCUAUCUGGCACUUCAGUUGCAAUGUUAUUAACUGGAGAUGGACCUUUGUCCUUCAACUUGGAAACCUCAUCCUGGUUCGAGGUUCAGGAAUGCUUAAUUCAUGAGAAACAGAUGAAGGGUUGAUUGGAACCAAAACUGAAGGAGGCUCUGCAGUUUUCAAUAUAGUUGGAGGAGUUUCACCCACCGGAACAUCAUUGGCACCUUGACCAUCAAGAGCCACAGCUUCUUGAACACAACCAUUAUUUCUAAUUGUAAGCUGACCAUCACUUGAAGCAGAGGCACACUGCUCUGUGCUUUUGCACUCCAAAUCCGGACAUGGAAUUGCAAAAUACUCUGAAGCCAUCCUCUCAUUUUCAUUCACAAUCUCUGGAUCAGGAAACUCAAUUUUAUCUAGUUCACAGGGUACUGAAUCAUCAACCUCGGAAUCUUUAUUAGCAACAUCUACAACGGUACAAGAGUGUGAAGCAGGGAUUUCAAGAACAUCAGGUGAUGCACCAGUGUAGGUGAGAGUAGUUGUACAAAACCAGCAGGAGAAUGGUAUAAAUCACUUGAAGAGAGUGAAAAUUCUUGUUCCGGUUUACCAUUCUCAAUGAGAACUUCACAAAGAGGCACCGAUGUGAAUCCCAACAACUGGUCU